CUGGAACCCGGCCCGCGCCGCCAUCUUGUCUCGCACAAAGGGAGCGGAACCGGAAACGGCCGCGCACGGCGCGCGGAGCGCCGGGGAGUUUCCUGUGCUCAGAGAGAAAAGGGACACAAAUACAGUCAGCAUUAAUCUAUGGAAAAAGCCAAGUGCGUAGUCACACCACGAGUAUUAAUUAAACAAUUAAUGAUGAUCAUCUGAUGAAUGCUGCCUCCAGCCUGGAGGUCCCACCAUAGGGAGGACAUGGAGCUGCUGGAGUGAGUCAGGAGGCACCAGGAUGAUCAAGGGAUGGAGCAGCUCUGCUGUGAGGAAAGGUGAGCCUCAAGGUCAAAUUCCAGCCCCAUCUUUAAAAGCUUGAAUGGGAAAGAGAAAGAAAGAAAAUAAAU